rnacentral:tRNA from 1 species
GGUUUGAUGGUGUAGUUGGUUAUCACGUCUGUCUCACACACAGGAGGUCUCCGGUUCGAACCCGGGUCAAACCA